rnacentral:sRNA from 12 species
AAAUCUCUGUGGUUUCCGAAGUCUUACGUUAUGCGUAAGCGGUUAAUGUAGGAACUACGGGAAUUU